GGGCCCGCACAAGCGGUGGAGCAUGUGGUUUAAUUCGACGCAACGCGAAGAACCUUACCUACACUUGACAUCCUCGGGAACUUUUCUAGAGAUAGAUUGGUGCCUUCGGGAACCGAGUGACAGGUGCUGCAUGGCUGUCGUCAGCUCGUGUCGUGAGAUGUUGGGUUAAGUCCCGUAACGAGCGCAACCCUUAUCCUUAAUUGCCAGCGGUUAGGCCGGGAACUCUAAGGAGACUGCCGAUGACAAAUCGGAGGAAGGUGGGGACGACGUCAAGUCAUCAUGGCCCUUACGUGUAGGGCUACACACGUGCUACAAUGGCCGGUACAAACGGUUGCGAACCCGCGAGGGG
rnacentral:rRNA from 1 species